AAGUCGUAACAAGGUUUCCGUAGGUGAACCUGCGGAAGGAUCAUUAAAAGAUAUGGCAUAUUCCAUGUGGAUAUACCCAAUCAACCCAUUCUGAGUACCUUACCUGUUGCUUCCACACAGUGUCAGUGCAUUAGUACUGACAUUCAGACGAUAGUGAAAACUUAUCCGAUGGAGAUGUGUGGAGGAUAUACAUUAAACUCUUGCAUUACCAUGUAUUCUGUCUGAUUAUGUUUAAUACAAAAUAUUAAAACUUUCAACAACGGAUCUCUUGGUUCUC
rnacentral:misc_RNA from 2 species